ensembl:snRNA U6 U6 spliceosomal RNA
GUUCUUGCUUAGGCAGCACAUAUACUAAAAUUGGAACAAUACAGAGAAGAUUAGCAUGGCUCCUGUGCAAGAGUAACAUUCAAAUUUGUGAAGCAUUCCGUAGUUUU